GUUGCCAUUGAUUACACUGUGGGCUACAACUGUUGUACAAAUCGUUUUGACUUAUCACAUACUUGUUCACAUUUUUGACGGAUUGGUACCAUUAAAAGUAUAUUGAAGUAGCUAUUAGUGGUACCUGUCUGAAGCCAUGUAUGUACAGACAACUACUAAGUUUUACUUCUAUGGUGAAGUGUCGUUUUUUAAAGAUUUGUAAGCGGAUUUAUGGACGUUAACUGCGACGGACAUCGGAGAAAAUGACAUUCUCGAGAAACGACCACAAUGAUGCCUUUCUCUGUGAUCUGUCAGGGUGGUUCCCAGCAGUCAGUAGACCUUUGUCUCCGUCCGUUUGACUGGUGCUUUUGAUCAGAGAGUGAAGUGACACCCCUCAAGGCCAACUUGGGAACAUACAAAAGCAGAAACCAUGGAGUCAGCUUAAGUUAUUCAAGCUUUGAAAUCAGUGAAUGGUUGGAAAAUAUGGAAAGAGUGACACCCAUUGCAGCUGUGAAGGAAAUGCAGCCAGACUCUUACACAUCAGAG